ACGAACGCUGGCGGCGUGUUUAACACAUCCAAGUCGAGCGGAAAGGCCUUUCGGGUACYUCGAGCGGCGACCGGGUGAGUAACACGUGAGUAACCUGUCCUUGGCCUUUGGGAUAACCCUCGGAAACGGGGGCUAAUACCGGAUAUGACCUUUGUCUGCAUGGGUGGGGGUGGAAAGUUUUUCGGCUAGGGGUGGGCUCGCGGCCUAUCAGCUUGUUGGUGGGGUGAUGGCCUACCAAGGCGACGACGGGUAGCCGGCCUGAGAGGGCGAACCGGCCACACUGGGACUGAGACACGGCCCAGACUCCUACGGGAGGCAGCAGUGGGGAAUAUUGCACAAUGGGCGGAAGCCUGAUGCAGCGACGCCGCGUGAGGGAUGACGGCCUUCGGGUUGUAAACCUCUUUCAGCAGGGACGAAGCGCA
rnacentral:rRNA from 1 species